rnacentral:tRNA from 1 species
GGCUCCGUAGCUCAAUUGUAUAGAGCACUGGAUUUCGGCUCCAGCGGUUGGGGGUUAGAAUCCCUCCGGGGUCACGA